UUCGCAAUGCCCGAAAGGGUGACGAAGCGACGCCGCGUGUGGGAAGAAGGCCUUCGGGUUGUAAACCACUGUCGGGAGUUAAGAAAUGCAAGGAUAUUAAUAGUGUCUUUGUUUGACUAAGGCUCCGGAGGAAGCCACGGCUAACUCUGUGCCAGCAGCCGCGGUAAUACAGAGGCGGCAAGCGUUGUUCGGAAUUAUUGGGCGUAAAGAGCACGUAGGCGGCUAUGUAAGUCGGUUGUGAAAGCCUUCCGCUCAACGGAAGAACAGCAUCCGAUACUACAUGGCUUGAGUGCGGGAGGGGAGAGUGGAACUUCUGGUGGAGCGGUGAAAUGCGUAGAUAUCAGAAGGAACGCCGGCGGCGAAAGCGGCUCUCUGGCCCAUGACUGACGCUGAGUGUGCGAAAGCUAGGGGAGCAAACGGGAUUAGAUACCCCGGUAGUCCUAGCCGUAAACGAUGGGCACUAAGUAGAGGGGUUUU
rnacentral:rRNA from 1 species